AAUCCAGGAACGAGCCUCAUGAUAUUGUAACGAAGAUCUUGAGAAAAGACACAGACCUCCGCCACUACUCUUACUCAGUAGGAACGAACGUUUCAACUGAAAAAACAAAAUGUGAACCCUUUGUAAACCUUUUUAGGCAGCUGUGAAUAAAUCCAGGAACGAGCCUCAUGAUAUUGAAACGAAGAUCACGCGAAAAGACACAGACCUCCGCCACUGUGAGAUACUGCUGUAACCAGACAUUAUAAGCUAAUAAAUCCAGGAAUGAGCCUCAUGAUAUUGUAACGAAGAUCACGCGAAAAGACACAUACCUCCGCCACUGUGAGAUACUGCUGUAACCAGAUAUUUUAAGCUAUCUUAAUGAACAAUUUGACUAGUAAUAGUAUCAACCUACCACUGAAGAUGGUAAACAUUGUACGACGUAUACCGAACAGUAGAACCGGUGUCCCUUUUAACAUUUUAAG